rnacentral:rRNA from 2 species
GGGCUAAUACCGGAUGCUUGUUUGAACCGCAUGGUUCAAACAUAAAAGGUGGCUUCGGCUACCACUUACAGAUGGACCCGCGGCGCAUUAGCUAGUUGGUGAGGUAAUGGCUCACCAAGGCAACGAUGCGUAGCCGACCUGAGAGGGUGAUCGGCCACACUGGGACUGAGACACGGCCCAGACUCCUACGGGAGGCAGCAGUAGGGAAUCUUCCGGCAAUGGACGAAAGUCUGACGGAGCAACGCCGCGUGAGUGAUGAAGGUUUUCGGAUCGUAAAGCUCUGUUGUUAGGGAAGAACAAGUGCCGUUCAAAUAGGGCGGCACCUUGACGGUACCUAACCAGAAAGCCACGGCUAACUACGUGCCAGCAGCCGCGGUAAUACGUAGGUGGCAAGCGUUGUCCGGAAUUAUUGGGCGUAAAGGGCUCGCAGGCGGUUUCUUAAGUCUGAUGUGAAAGCCCCCGGCUCAACCGGGGAGGGUCAUUGGAAACUGGGGAACUUGAGUGCAGAAGAGGAGAGUGGAAUUCCACGUGUAGCGGUGAAAUGCGUAGAGAUGUGGAGGAACACCAGUGGCGAAGGCGACUCUCUGGUCUGUAACUGACGCUGAGGAGCGAAAGCGUGGGGAGCGAACAGGAUUAGAUACCCUGGUAGUCCACGCCGUAAACGAUGAGUGCUAAGUGUUAGGGGGUUUCCGCCCCUUAGUGCUGCAGCUAACGCAUUAAGCACUCCGCCUGGGGAGUACGGUCGCAAGACUGAAACUCAAAGGAAUUGACGGGGGCCCGCACAAGCGGUGGAGCAUGUGGUUUAAUUCGAAGCAACGCGAACAACCUUACCAGGUCUUGACAUCCUCUGACACCCCUAGAGAUAGGGCUUCCCCUUCGGGGGCAGAGUGACAGGUGGUUGCAUGAUUGUCGUCAGCUUCGUGUCGUGAGAUGUUGGGUUUAAGUCCCGCAACGAGCGCAACCCCUGGAUCUUAGUUGCCAGCAUUCAGCUGGGCACUCUAAGGUGACUUGCCCGGUGACAGACCGGAUGAAGGUGGGGGAUGACGUUCAAAUUAUCAUGCCCCUUAUGACCUGGCCCUACAUACGGUGCUUACAUUGAACUGAACAAAGGGCAGCCGAAAACCGCGAGCUUAAGCCAAUCCCACAAUUCCGUUUCUCAAUUCGGAAUAUCGCAGUUCUGUCACACUCUUGCAGCUCGC